rnacentral:rRNA from 1 species
AUUGAACGCUGGCGGCAGGCCUAACACAUGCAAGUCGAGCGGUAGAGAGGUGCUUGCAUUUCUUGAGAGCGGCGGACGGGUGAGUAAUGCCUAGGAAUCUGCCUAGUGGUGGGGAUAACGUUCGGAAACGGACGCUAAUACCGCAUACGUCCUACGGGAGAAAGCGGGGGAUCUUCGGACCUCGCGCCAUUAGAUGAGCCUAGGUCGGAUUAGCUAGUUGGUGAGGUAAUGGCUCACCAAGGCGACGAUCCGUAACUGGUCUGAGAGGAUGAUCAGUCACACUGGAACUGAGACACGGUCCAGACUCCUACGGGAGGCAGCAGUGGGGAAUAUUGGACAAUGGGCGAAAGCCUGAUCCAGCCAUGCCGCGUGUGUGAAGAAGGUCUUCGGAUUGUAAAGCACUUUAAG